rnacentral:ncRNA from 2 species
AUUGAAUAAUUGCAUUAAAGUCGUAUAACGUCGGUAAUAUGGUCCGAAAGUCUCUACCUACCAACCGUAAAUUGGUAGACUACGCUUUGUGUUUGUAUAAAU